rnacentral:rRNA from 1 species
GUGAGGAAUCUUGCGCAAUGGGCGAAAGCCUGACGCAGCGACGCCGCGUGGAGGAAGACGGCCUUCGGGUUGUAAACUCCUGUCAGAGGUGAAGAAUCCCCGCAAGGGGUUGACGGUAACCUCAAAGGAAGCCCCGGCUAACUACGUGCCAGCAGCCGCGGUAAUACGUAGGGGGCAAACGUUACUCGGAAUUACUGGGCGUAAAGGGUGUGUAGGUUGUUGAGUAAGUCAAAGAUGAAAUUCCGGAGCUCAACUUCGGAAUUGUCUUUGAGACUGCUCGGCUUGAGGAUAGCAGAGGAGAAUGGAAUUCCCGGUGGAGCGGUGAAAUGCGUAGAUAUCGGGAGGAACACCCGAGGCGUAAGCGAUUCUCUAGACUAUUCCUGACGCUGAAACACGAAAGCUAGGGGAGCGAACGGGAUUAGAUACCCCUGUAGUCC